rnacentral:rRNA from 1 species
AUAGCGUAUAUUAAAGUUGUUGCAGUUAAAAAGCUCGUAGUUGAAUUUUGUCUCUGGCCGCUCGGUCCGCCUAACCGCGUGCACUGAUGUGGCCGGAGAUUUCCUUCUGGCUAACCUCAUGCUCUUUAUUGGGUGUGUUGGGGAUCCAGGACUUUUACUUUGAAAAAAUUAGAGUGUUCAAAGCAGGCCUUUGCUCGAAUACAUUAGCAUGGAAUAAUAGAAUAGGACGGUGGUUCUAUUUUGUUGGUUUCUAGAGCCACCGUAAUGAUUAAUAGGGAUAGUCGGGGGCAUCAGUAUUCAAUUGUCAGAGGUGAAAUUCUUGGAUUUAUUGAAGACUAACUACUG